UAAUACGGAGGGUCCAAGCGUUAUCCGGAUUCAUUGGGUUUAAAGGGUGCGCAGGUGGGGAUGUAAGUCAGUGGUGAAAUACUGCCGCUCAACGGUAGAACUGCCAUUGAUACUGCAUCUCUUGAAUAUGGUUGAGGUAGGCGGAAUGUGUCGUGUAGCGGUGAAAUGCAUAGAUAUGACACAGAACGCCAAUUGCGAAGGCAGCUUACUAAGCCAUUAUUGACGCUGAGGCACGAAAGCGUGGGGAGCGAACAGGAUUAGAUACCCUGGUAGUCCACGCCGUAAACGAUGUUCACUCGCUGUCUGCGAUACACAGUAGGCGGCUAAGCGAAAGCAUUAAGUGAACCACCUGGGGAGUACGAUCGCAAGGUUG
rnacentral:rRNA from 1 species